rnacentral:tRNA from 1 species
GCGGGGGUAGUUUAAUGGUAGAACAUCAGCUUCCCAAGCUGAGAGCGCGAGUUCGAUUCUCGUCACCCGCU